AUGGCAGCAGCCUCUGUGUGGGGGGGAAAAGCAACAUGCUGGAUAUUGAAUUGGACUUUCCUCCUUCCUAGGAUGAAAGGAUGUUAUCUAUCCCGUGCCAAGAGGGAACUGAGAGCAAUGAACAUAUGGCUGCUACUAUCAGCACUGGUGUAUUUGCAGCGAUGCCUAUCAACAUCCACCAGAGAGCAGGGCAGCUCCAAAACCCACAUCUUUUAUGCUGUGGAAAUUGAUGGAGACAGCAACACAGCCAGCUUCUUGGCCAAACAACAUGGAAUGCAGUUCAUUUCAAAGGUGAAGAGCAUCCUGCAGAGUCCUCCCAGCAAAGACAUGGAAGUUUAAAAAUGUAGAUGUUGACCUACUUGAAACUGGGCUUCAGUAACCAGUGAAUAUCACACAGUCUCCUAUACAUCUGUCAAAGAUAAAGGUCCACUCUAUUCAGACUUAAUUUUGAAAAUGCAAAUUUUGGGUGUCUGCUUUCUUACUCAAAGAACUUAAAACAUAUCUUCAUUUUCUACAAUUUGUAUUUCCUAGCGGCUCAACAGAAGUCUUAAACUCAGGACUUCAUGCCAGACCUUUUGAUCUAAAGACACUAGCAACAACUGAAAUUGCUGUUCCCAGUCUUGUUCCCAGGUGGUAAUUGUAUGUUUCAGUAAGCUAAAUGAUAGGAAUGAGUACAGUUUAGAAGAGAAAAGGCAAGGAAACAAACAAACAAUAUCGUUUCCAUCUUAAUAAUCAGCUAUCUGUGUAAAAACAACUUUUCUUUUAUUUAUAUUGAAUAAUUAAACAAAACUAAAUUUCUAUGAAAUAUUGUUAUGACGUUGAUAUUAAUAAUGCUCUGUUUCUGAAAGACUGAAAUACAGUUUAAUGCUAAGCUCCAUAUAACAUAUGUAUAACAUAGUAGCAUAUAUAUAAGAUACAAUGUAUUUCUGUGAAAGCUUAUUAUAUAAGCAAGAUCAACAAAUGUUGGAGAAGGAAAUAAAGAUGUGGAAAGGUCAAAUGACUUGCA
rnacentral:lncRNA from 1 species